rnacentral:rRNA from 1 species
UAAAGAAUUUCGGUUAUCGAUGGGGAUGCGUUCCAUUAGUUAGUUGGCGGGGUAACGGCCCACCAAGACGACGAUGGAUAGGGGUUCUGAGAGGAAGGUCCCCCACAUUGGAACUGAGACACGGUCCAAACUCCUACGGGAGGCAGCAGUGAGGAAUAUUGGUCAAUGGACGAGAGUCUGAACCAGCCAAGUAGCGUGAAGGAUGACUGCCCUAUGGGUUGUAAACUUCUUUUAUAUGGGAAUAAAACAGGGUAUGCAUACCCUCUUGUAUGUACCAUAUGAAUAAGGAUCGGCUAACUCCGUGCCAGCAGCCGCGGUAAUACGGAGGAUCCGAGCGUUAUCCGGAUUUAUUGGGUUUAAAGGGAGCGUAGGUGGAUUGUUAAGUCAGUUGUGAAAGUUUGCGGCUCAACCGUAAAAUUGCAGUUGAAACUGGCAGUCUUGAGUACAGUAGAGGUGGGCGGAAUUCGUGGUGUAGCGGUGAAAUGCUUAGAUAUCACGAAGAACUCCGAUUGCGAAGGCAGCUCACUGGACUGCAACUGACACUGAUGCUCGAAAGUGUGGGUAUCAAACAGGAUUAGAUACCCUGGUAGUCCACACAGUAAACGAUGAAUACUCGCUGUUUG